AAGGUGGAGCUUUUGUUGCUAGUUCUAAUCGUGGUAGAAGUAAUCCACGUGAAAAUAAUUGGAGAAAGAAUAGUAGAUCGAGCUCGAGACCACGAGUAGGCCAUGAAGAUAGAGAAUACUACCACUAUCAUGAAAAGUGUCACAUUCAAUACCAUUGUAUAAAAAUGAAGGAAGAUCUUGCAAAAUUUAAACAAUUUAAGAAGAAUCAUGGAAAAGAAAAAGAAGGAAC
rnacentral:misc_RNA from 1 species